rnacentral:rRNA from 1 species
GACGAACGCUGGCGGCGUGCUUAACACAUGCAAGUCGAGCGACGCUCUUCCUUAUGGGAGAUGACGGAGCGGCCAACGGGGGAGUAACACGUGGGCAAACUGCCCCUAGCUCUGGGACAACACCGGGAAACGGGUGCUACUACCGGAUACGACAUCGAGCGGCAUCUCUCGUUGUGGAAAGUUUUUUCGGCAAGGGGUGGGCCCGCGUCCUAUCAGCUUGUUGGUGGGGGAAUGGCCCACCAAGGCGACGACGGCUAGCCGGCCGGGGAGGCCGACCGGCCACACGGGGACUGAGCCACGGCCCAGACUCCUGCGGGAGGGAGCAGUGGGGAAUAUUGCGCAAUGGGCGAAAGCCUGACGCAGCGACGCCGCGUGAGGGAUGACGGCCGUCGGGUUGUAACCCUCUUUCAGCAGGGACGAAUUCAGACGGUACCUGCAGAAGAAGCACCGGCCAACUACGUG